ensembl:lncRNA
ACCCAGCCAGCCCGCCAGCCAUCACCCAGCCAUCACCCAGCCACCUGGAUAGCACAGCACAUGUGUCAGUACAACAUGCUUGGCUUUUGUUUUCCUCUCCAUUUUGCCAAUGGGCAUAGCUGAAUAAUUUAUGCCGGAGGAACGUGCUGGAUGUUCCAGCCUGGAACACAGAACUACAUUGUUCAUAUCCUGGAUGGCUAGUGGUGAUGGGUGGGACGAGUGUUCAUCUUCAUCAUCUGUUCGUCUUCGCAGAGCAUUAUACCAUCAGAAGAAAUAUCGGUCUUCGCAGGGCAUUAUACCAUCAGAAGAAAUGUGAAGAUGACACCAAAGCAUCAUCAAGUGCUAUCUAGUUACUAGUUAGAUACUAGUUGCCCUAUAAAAAACAUAUUUCAUAAAGUGGCAAAUUGUUGCAUUGGGUUGCUUUUCAUUAAAUGCGUACAAAACAAGAUGUUAAUAACAAGGUCCACCACAAUAGAGAACUCUGGAUGCCUCUGUGUUGAGGAACUAUAGACCUGUCUCAAAUCUUCUUUUGAUAGCUAAGAUCAUUGAGAAAGGUGUUUACAAUCAACUCAGUUUUUUUUUUAACUCAAGCAGUCAUUUUGACAGGUUUAAAUCCCGCUGUUGACCUCACAAGGCGCAGAUUGAUGCCCAGGCUGGUCAAGGCUGCAGCCCAGGGGCACCACAUGUGCAAGGGCCACAGAUUGGCCUUUCAUUCCAACUCCAGGUACAGAGAGCUUCUUGGGUGGUUAUGCCCUUCAUCUAUGCGCUUCGUCUGUGCUCUUCUCUAUCACCUUCAGAAGCGUGAGGUUGAUAUCUGUGAUAUCUGUGCUCUUCUCUCUCCCCUUCAGAAGCGCGAGGUUGAUAUCUGUGCUCUUCUCUUCAGAAGCGUGAGGUUGAUAUCUGUGCUCUUCCCUAUCACCUUCAGAAGCGUGAGGUUGAUAUCUGUGCUCUUCCCUAUCACCUUCAGAAGCGUGAGGUUGAUAUCUGUGCUCUUCUCUCUCACCUUCAAGAGCGUGAGGUUGAUAUCUGUGCACUGCCUCAAUUUAGUGACAAGUGUACUAAGCUGUAAUACUGUCUAUACAUAUACAGCUGUUUGUAAAUAUCUUUUUGCUUCCAUUUAUAUUCUCUAGUCUUUUUCUUUAUAUUUUUCACUUCUUGGAUUAUGUACCUGGUGGAGGAUAAAUACAUUUACAACUUCUUGUCUCCCUGCUGCCUUUUGUGCCU